rnacentral:tRNA from 1 species
GGGGUUGUGGCUCAGUGGUAGAAGUGCUUGCCUAGCAUGCAACAAGGCACUUGGUUCAAUCCUCAGCACCA